CAUUCCCCAUUCAAAAGUUUACCACAACGCACAGCUCCCUCCUGUCAACGAUCAGAGGUUUCUAAACAAAACAAACAAAACGUCCAGCUGACGGCGUCUUUAAAAGUGAUCGAUCCGAGCGGCUCCAAAACACUUCACAGCGUUCGUGCGUCCCGGCGAUCCCCCAGCAUCAGAGAACCGGAGCUGUACGGCGGCGCGGCGGCACCAUGGAGGAGCAGGAGGAGGAGGAGAUGUUAGAGCCGCUCUGCUAAUCUCCGACCGAGCCGCUGAGCGUAACAGGCAGCGGAAGCGGCGCUUUUCUCCGGCUUAACUACAGGUUGAUAAAACCGCUCGGCGAUCCACGCAGCGCCACAAAGUCAGCUAUCCGAAACUGUUUCCAACACGCCGGACAUGCCUCCCUCUCCAAGCCUGUCUUCCUCCAGCGACAAUGGGGAGGGGGAGAGAAAGAAAAACCCACACUGCUUCUUCCCUCAGUUACAACCGGUCCGGAGCUCACCCCACAUGAAAAAAAAAAAAAUGAAGAAGAAAGAAAAAAAAAAAGCAUGUUUGAAUUUCUGGACUCACCUCAGUCCGGGACAAGAGGAUCGCAUUGGAGAGGGACGCGCAGAGACAGGACGCUGGUAUCCAACAGGGGUCUCUGCCUCUCCUCGCUUCAAGUCACUCCUAGGGGGCGGGGCCGAGAGGGAGGAGGAGGAGGAGACCCAGGAGCGGCUGCAGCUACACGGGACAGGAGCGCGCCUAGAGGGGAUUAUCACCAGAGAACCCCGGCAAGAAGAAUGGACACAAAGAAUUUCCUUUCUCAACCCAAAUGCAUCUAGGGGGUUAAGAAACUACUAUGAUCACAAAAAUGCGUUCAUACUAACAAUGAACCCCCCCCCCCCCACCUCGCUUUUUUUAUUAACUUUAGACCAGGGAUGGCUUAAUUUUUACAAAAUGCCACAGGCACGUUUUCACUAAGAUAUCCGGAAAAGUUUCACCCACCUGGAACGUUUUUAGUGAAUGUUUUGGGCCUGCAGUCGGUGCUGACCGCAGCUUUCACAGCGCUGGUUUGUCUGGGAAAGAGGCUGCUCUUUUUUUGCCCUAAUCUUGUGAUUUUCUUUUCCCAGCAUUUGCACUGAAACUUAAAGUCAGAUUGAGUUUGUGAAAUUCACAGAUAUUUGAUAAAAAAAAAAAAAAA